UCAGGCCUACAUUGUUUUUGAUGACCUUGAUGGUUUUAGGGGGUACUAGUCAGGUGUUUUUGGGAACUGUUUCUCAGCUGAGGUUUGUCUGAUGUAGUGGGAUUAUUAGUUUUGGGAGGGAACAUGUCAAGGUAAAAUGCCAUUCUCAUCCUGUCGUAUGAUACACACUUUCAACUUGACUGAUCACUGCUCACACUGGCCUUGAUCAC
rnacentral:lncRNA from 10 species